UACAGAGGGUGCGAGCGUUGUUCGGAAUUACUGGGCGUAAAGCGCGCGUAGGUGGUGUGUUAAGUCUGCCGGUCAAAUGCCGAGGCUCAACCUCGUUGCACGCCGGGGAUACUGGCACGCUAGAGACAAGUAGAGGCAAGCGGAAUUCCGGGUGUAGCGGUGGAAUGCGUAGAUAUCAGGAGGAACACCGGUGGUGUAAACGGCUCUCUGGACCGUAACUGACGCUGAGACACGAAAGCGUGGGUAGCAAACAGG
rnacentral:rRNA from 1 species